GGCUGUAGCUGGGAGGGGGAGGGGGGAGGGGGAAUUUGGUAAAAAAAAACCCAGUAUAAACUUAAAGAAAAUAAUUUUCUUAACCAUUUUUCAAUAUGCGCAGAAUAAAUCUCUCCCCCCACAAAAACAACACAAAAAACAACAACAUUCUAGCUACGACCCUGUUCGAAAAUAUUGGCCGCACAUCUCGAACUAAAUAUAUACGAAGUGGUGAAUCAUAAACGAAGCUUCCACGCGGCAGAAUCGUUGCUAAUUAUACAAACAUGAUUUUUAAAACUUAGUAUGUUAUCAUGUUGGAAAAUUCGUAUGAAAAAUAUUUUCUUGCUUUUGAAAUCAAGAAUAGCAUAGGUGGAGACAACAAAGACUUCAACAUAUUUCAACAAAUUUCUUGAAAAAUAUAUUCUAGAUAAAAUAAAAUGUUUCAAGGAAGAGAAAACGUUAUAGAUAUUAAAAAACGUUAUAGAUA
rnacentral:misc_RNA from 1 species